GGUCACAUCAAGUUGAAACAUCGGUUCCCGUACGAUCACCGAAGUUAAGCAACGUCGAACCUGAUCAGUACCUAGAUGGGUGAGCGCUUGGGAAUACCAUGUACUGUAAG